AGUUUGAGAUAUCCUGCUCACUGUUGCCCUGGUCUGCAUUCGCCUGCCAGAGAAGGACACAAAAGGCCUUCAACAGCUGCUUCCCUCCACAUCUGGAGAUUUGAGCUCUUUAACACCCCUCCCUUUCACAGUGGUGGCUGCACUUCUCAGCUGCCUCCACUGCCUUCUGUUGAAUAACUCCAGGCAAUGGUCUCCUGGAGGCCCUGAGUCAGUCUUUUCGAGAGCAUUUCUCUAAGUUUCCCACACUGCUGCAGGACAGUCACUGAGCUCCGUGACAAGGACCCCAUCUGUUUCCACUGUAUGGAUGUCAUCAUUGGGAACCACAGUCUCCUGUGGAAGCCAGGAGUGAAAAGACUUCUCUAAAGCUCAACCAGGGAUCAAGGCAUUUCACGCAGACACCUCUGUCCUCAACCACCCAGGCAGGUGUCCUGGACUGCCCAGGAACAGAUGGGAUCCCACAUCCCUCAAUCAUGAUCAGAGUCCAUCAGAGACCCAGAGCAGAGGUGUCCAGCAGAGACAAAGGUGGGGGCUCUCAGCCCAGCCCCUGGGGAGGAAGCAAUGGGAAGGGCUCUCAGCCCAGUGGGCUGGGCUGGGCUGGGUCACUGGCUCCUGGGGCUCGGAUGCUGGACGCAGGGGAAAGUUCCAGAAGAGAUUUAUUCUGCUGCAUUGCUGAGGGUGGAUCAUCCCUCACAAGGCUGUGUGUGUAAAAGCUCCGGCCUGUUGAUUGGUCUGUCAGGGUGAUUUGUGGCUCCCCCUGAGGUAAUGGGGAGCAGGGGGGCUGGUGAGAGGCAGCCGGACAGAUUGCUCAACAGAGUGGCCACCCUGAGAUUUAUUGACCUUGAUCCACAAUGUCCCUUCAGUGCUUUUAAUCUGCCUUUUCUGUUGUCACUGGCUGUGGUAACACCCCCACCAGGGGCCUUGAGGCUUGGAGGGACAGGGACAUCCUGAGGGCUGCACCAUCUGUCCCUGGGGCUCUUGUCUCAGAAGAGGACAGAGGGCCUAUCCUCUGUGGGCCUGGGUUGUUGCUUUUUAAAAACAGCUUUAGGACUGGGGAGAUGGCUCAGUGGAUAAAGUGCUUGCUGGGCAAGCACGAGGACCUGAGUUCAAAUCCCUGUGGCUUAAGAAGGUAUGGUGGUUGCUUAAAAUGCUAGCAUAUCUUGAGAGGCAGAGGUGUGGGUCCCCUGGAGAAAUCUGGCUAUACAGACUAUAGACUAGCUAGAAUUGGUGAGCUUGAGGUUCGACAAGAGGCCCUGUCUCAAUAAAC